AAGACCUUGCGCGAAUGGAGCGGCCGAUGGCAGAUUAGGUAGUUGGUGAGGUAAAGGCUCACCAAGCCUUCGAUCUGUAGCUGGUCUGAGAGGACGACCAGCCACACUGGGACUGAGACACGGCCCAGACUCCUACGGGAGGCAGCAGUGGGGAAUUUUGGACAAUGGGCGCAAGCCUGAUCCAGCCAUGCCGCGUGAGUGAAGAAGGCCUUCGGGUUGUAAAGCUCUUUCGCGAGGGAAGAAAAGGCCACGGAUAACACCCGUGGUUCAUGACGGUACCUUGAUAAGAAGCACCGGCUAACUACGUGCCAGCAGCCGCGGUAAUACGUAGGGUGCGAGCGUUAAUCGGAAUUACUGGGCGUAAAGCGUGCGCAGGCGGUUUGACAAGUCAGAUGUGAAAUCCCCGGGCUCAACCUGGGAACU
rnacentral:rRNA from 1 species